rnacentral:tRNA from 1 species
GUGGGCGUAGCUCAGUUGGUUAGAGCAUCAGACUGUGGCUCUGAGGGUCGGGGGUUCGAAUCCCCUCGCUCACC